rnacentral:rRNA from 1 species
UACAGAGACUGCAAGCGUUAUUCGGAUUCACUGGGCGUAAAGGAUGCGCAGGCGGCCAAGUGUGUUAGGCGUGAAAGCCCGGGGCUUAACCCCGGAAUUGCACCUAAAAACUACAUGGCUAGAGCAUUGGAGAGGGUAGCAGAAUUCAUGGUGUAGCAGUGAAAUGCGUAGAUAUCAUGAGGAAUACCAGAGGCGAAGGCGGCUACCUGGACAAUUGCUGACGCUCAGGCACGAAAGCGUGGGGAGCAAAAGGG